GAAAGUGAAAGCACUCGGAUCAGGAACGACGGGCCUCGUGGAAUCAAGAGAGUCUCGGUUUGCUUGCUGCGAGACGUUUUUCAUUUUGUUGUCGUUUUCCGUUUUUCUGCUAAAACAUUCAGAAUGAUGUUUCAGGUCAACAUAGUCUAUAACAAAAUGAACAAAAUUUUCUCUGACAGUGUCAGAUUCAGAGGUGAAGUUUAACAACACAACCAUCUUAGAACUAAAGAAGAAACUCAGACAUCGGAUCCCUGGAGCACCUGACCCACACUUUUUAGGGCUGAUGUUUGCGGGGAUCUAUCUCGAAGAACAACGCACUCUUCAGGAUUAUGGAAUUAAACAUUUAAGUCAUCUUCUCUUGGUGAUGAAAAUGUCUGGUGGAGGCCCUCCUCCUCCCGAUGAACGAUUCCCCAGAUCUGAAUCCAUGGAAAGAUUGAGUUUCAGUAUGUAGAUGUAUUAGUGUGUAGCCAUCCUUUCAGAUUUAGAGUUAUUUGAUAUGUAAUAUAUAAUAUGUAAAAAAGCUGCUUUUUAUUUCCAUAUAUUUUAAAAUGUAACUGAUGGCUGUGGUCAACCCUGAAUUUUCAGCAUCAUAGAUCAUAGCUUUUUUGAGCAGAAUCACUUCUGAAGGAUUGUGUGAAUGGUAACGUAUCUCUCCUUUCCCAUAAGUACAUUUUUAAUGAUAUCUACACAGAGUUUCUAAGGUACAUAAUAUUGAUCACAGUAAUUGUACCUUUCGGUGAUAUUGAAACAAUUUUUUUAUUCUUUGAUUGUUCAUUUAGUAAAGCCUUUUGGUUUGGUACAUUUGAGCGGCUUUAAGUUUCAAUCAUUUUUGGUUUAGUAAUGCAAGAUGUACUUAUUCAGUUUGCAUCGAAUUUUAUUUUAAUAUUCGGGUUAAUUCUGGUCGUAAACGUAAAUGACUCAAAACAAAGCCGCUGUUUUCUGUGUUUCAAAAAUAAUUUUGGGUGUAUUGUAAAUGUAUAAGAUUUGUCAAAUGAAAAGCUGGAAGAAGAAUUCGUAGUUUGUUGCAGAAAUAAAAAUAAUAAUAAUAAUCAA